UAGGUCACCUAACUACUUACCUGCUUCCCUAUAGUUGCCUGAUGCGUUAAUUGUUAUCUCAAUCACACUCUAAAUGUGCAUCUACACUUUUAAAAAAUUUAAUUGAUGCAUUCAGAUGUAAAAAGCAAAAAGCUUUCAAAUAUAUAUGGAUAAUUUAUAUACAAAUCAAAGCUGAAACCCUCUGCUUCCACCAUCUCUGCCGAUGCUGCAAGGUAUUGGAAUGGCUUGUACUCCCCAAAAAUAUAUAUGGAUAAUUUUGAUGUAGACACAUCAAAAUUAAUCUUCAAUAUCCCCCGGUUUGGUGGUUCCCAAUGACUCGUGUUCUGUACCACUGGCACCUAAGGAAUCAAGCUAGCUUUUGGCUUUCGCCGUCGCUUGGGAGAAAUUAUUGUGGUCUUCGAUUGCCUUUGCACAUAUCGUUGUUUCCUCCACCAUAUCUUCUUGAACACCCACUUGUUCCUUGCAACCCAAAUUUGCCAACAGAUUGUUGCAAAUAACCCAAGAACGUUUCAUCUCUCCUCCCCUUUGACAUUAUCUCUAGUAUAUGCCCUUCCAUACCUCCCUUAUCUGUGCAUUACCCAUAUAACCUCUGGCCGAUAUCUAAAGGGAGACAGCAGCCAUACUUUGCCAGCCCUCUCACAAUGCAUCAGCAUAUGUGAAAAGGUUUUCCUAUAAUGAUAUGGAUUCUACAAGGUUAAGGGUGAGAUUUGAUCUCAGGAUAGCUUAUGGAGCUUUGGGGUUUUAAAUUGGUGAUAUUGGGGUUUGUAACGGCGACUAUUAUGGUUACUUUUGGAUUCAAAAUGGCAUUAUUGCUAGGUUUUGUAGUGUUUUCAUACUGAUAGAUAGUGAACCACUCGUAUGGCAGAAUACCCUGUUUUCAAUUAGUUCCAACGGAAUGUGAGGCUAGUAUAUGGCAUUUAAUGGAAUUUGAGGGGUUAGUUGUACAUGGGUGAACUGUGCAUGUGACAAAUUACUCUGCUACGAUAGCGGUGGGUCUCGUGGCCUUUAUGUUUUCUCGUUCUGCAGAAAUGUUAUAUUUCAUGCUGUCCACUGUUUUUCUAGUA